CCAUUCCCUGUCUCAUCAUUUCUCUCUCAUUCGUCUCUCUUUCUCGCAAAGCCUCUCUCGUCUCUCUCAAAGACCCACGCGAGAAGGCCCCACCACCUACCGACAGCCUCUGCUUGGUCUUCAAAUGCCUCAUCUUCUUUUACUGUACAUUGCAUUCUUAUCUUCACUUUUGCUUUUCAAUUUCACACGUCUCCUCUGCCUUUGAACGACACCCCCUUCCUCACUCUUCUCUUUCAUUUUCCUGCGUUUCCUUUUGAUUCUUUUGGGUUCGGUCGAUGAAGCCUGCACGCUUCCCUUAUCACCACCGACAGCCUUCUGCCCCAUUUCCCCACCGAUUCCUCUCUGCCACGUCCGAGUUUCCUCCAAGCUCGGUCGACCGAAGAAGCGCCCCCCAGCCGUGUUGACUCCCCUGCCAGCGAAGCUCACCUUCGUUUGUCUCCAUCCUCUGAGCAGCCCCGCACCUUCGGUCCCUCAUCUCUGCCUCCACCGAACACCUCUCAUCUCCUGCCAUUGUUCGCGCCUGCCCACCUCACGCCCACGCGUCCACAGCUUCUACCUUUGAAGUCACCGUUGCCGAUUUGUUGACCCCGAGUCUCCUCGGCCAACCGUUCGCGUGAGACUUCCAUGGAGCAGCUCCCAUCUUCACUCGUGGAUCAGCCCUGCAAUCCUUUCCGCUAGUUUGUUAAUCGUGGAUCUCCGCUCGUCCAGCGUCAAGAGACCGAAUCAGCCGCGUCUUCUCUCUCUAUCGUCCGAGGCAGUCCCUGUCCGUGUCUUCGAGCAGCCGUCUUCAGCACGUCCAUUUCAGCCCAUAAGAAGUCAGCCCAAUUCAGCAGCUCCAUUCAAGCCCACGAGCCCAAAUGAGUUCAGUCCAUCAAAAGCCCAGCGAAAUUUUGAGGCCCAAGCCCGUGAAGUCAGGCCCACCGAAUCAGUGGACUCAGCCCAGCUCGAGCAGCGAGCUUGUAGGCCGAUUUCGGCCCCGAUUUGACCCCGGUUGGCGGACCCGCUUCGGAUGGGAUUGACCCUUGUCGCCUGCUCGUCGAUUUGGUCCGAUUGGCUCGUUAAUCAAGUGAGUUUUACUCACUAAUGCUUUAUUAGUUUGCUAAAUAUGCUUAGGGGUUGGUUAGAUUUAAUUAAACGCAAUUAGGUGGUUAGAUUAGUUUAGAUCAAUUAAAUUAGAGACUUAAUGAUGCAUGUUAGGUGGUUAGAAAUAGACAUUAGCAAGUAGGCAUGCCAUGUUAUUUAUGGAACGAGUCCCGGUAAUUUUCCGGGCUCGUCUCGGCGUCCAAUCAGGCAAUACGGGCCUAAAUUGGAUUUUUAGUAUUUAUUUAUUUAUUUUUCGAAAUUAAUUAUUUAUUUAUUUAUUUUUCCGGAAAUUCAACCGGGAUGGCCGGUGACCGGAAUUUCGUACUGAUUGUCGUGGUGCAGUCCGUUUAUUUAAUUGAGCUUCAAUUUAUAUGGAAUUGAUUUAAAUUGUGAAAUUUGAGGAUUUGUCCUAAAUUGAAUGAAAUCGAAUAAUUGAUUGGUUGAUGGCCGAGUAUUGUUAUUUAGCAUCGAUAAUGCUGUAAUGAUCUGUAAAGCAGAGGGAACUGUGAAAGUGAAUUGGGGAAAUUCUCGGCUGAAACCAAUCAGGAACGAUGUAAUGAGACAUACGUGGUUCGGUGAUUAAAAGAUAUCACUGGUGAAAACGGCGCCUUAAAGAACGCACGAAUGCUGUCUAUUACAUGCAGCAGUAUGGACAUACGUGGUUCGGUGAUUAAAGGAUAUCACUGGUGAAAACGGCGCCUUAAAGAACGCACGAGUGUUGUCUAUUACAUGCAGCAGUAUGGACAUACGUGGUUCGGUGAUGGAGGAUAUCACUGGUGAAAACGGCGCCUUAAAGAACGCACGAGUGCUGUCCAUUAUACACGUCACCUUGGCGAAAAAGACGCCCGAGAGCAUUAAUGAGGCUCUGUGACUAAGUGUACUGCUGGAGAUUAUCGUGAUCGGUAAUUGGUACGUCACCUUGGCGAAAAAGACGCCCGAGAGCAUUCAUCUGGCUCUGUGACUGAGUACCCGAAUGGAGAUUAUAAAGUAUGGUGUUGAUGUGACCGAGAGGUGGUCCGAAUGACAUGUAAUCGACUAGGUCGAUUGAUCAUUGUUUUGAUCUGAUGUUGUGAAUUGGUUGAUUGAAUGGGAAUGGCCGUGAGUGGUCUUGUUGGCAUGUGAUCGACUAGAUCGAUUUGAUCAAUACUUCGAUCUGUGAUGUGAUUGCUUGGGUGCCUAUUGAAUUGUGCUAAUAUGCAGGUGAAAUCUGAGGCCAAGGUAAGUCCUCUGACUCACGUUGUGCAUAGGCAGCCAUAAGGUGUAUUAGUUUACUAAUCGGGUCUUAGGGGUAGAACUUGUUGAGACGUAGUCUCAUCCCGGUUUGGGGAAAAUAUUUCAGGACUCUGAUGAAGAACCUGAGGAGAAAGAACUCGANNNNN
rnacentral:lncRNA from 1 species